rnacentral:lncRNA from 1 species
AUAAAUCGUACAGACCCCAAAUUUCUGCAUUAGAAGUUGGCAGUAGAUUGCAUUAAUGGUUAAUGUAAUGUCACAUCACGACUUUUACAUAAAAUAAUAUGUAUUUGUGUAAUUGACAAAUGACAAAUGAUGUUGAAUUUUUUCAACAUCAAGAAUGUAGGUUAAAAUUUACAGCAUAGCUUGGUACCGAAGCUUACACAUAUGCGCCCAUUUCAUGCACUCUGUCAAUUAAUAUGUGGCCAUAAAACAGUGGGUAGUUUUAAAAUAGUUUUAGAUGAAGUAUGUCAAACUGCAGGACGCUGCGGUCACUGCUUGAAAUUUAUUCUCUGCUUGACUUCCUCUCUCAGAUCUUCUUCCUCCUUCCAUGGGGAUGGGAAGAGCUCCAGGGGAUUGGAGCAGACACCUGGCUCUCCAGAUUCCAGGCAAAGUCAUUUUGCAGAAGGAGACGGCUCGCCACGCAGCCCCUUCUGUACUGGAGUGGAGGAUCCCUUCAGCCAGACUGAGGAUGAACAGCAGGCUGUGCUGCCAUGGGAAUGCAGGUCGUUUCCCUUGCAGGAGUCAGAACUCAAGUGGCUGCAGGAGGAGGAAGAGGCGGAGCCCGAUGAGGACCCGUGCACCUCCAGCGGUCGCAGCCAAAGCACGGACUCAGGCAUCUCUGUGGGCAGCCUGGAGCUCUCCCCGAGGACCCCUCAACCCCCUCAGCAGCACUCAGGCACAGAGCAAGCCACCCCUCACACACUGCCCUGCAAACCAGCCACCCCGACGACAUUCUCUACAGCUCAGGAUUCUCCCAAACUUCCUCUUUCCUUGUACUCGUCCUCUCCGUUAUCAUAGCGCAUCAUUUGUCCAGCCGUUUUUCUGCUCUAAUACGAAAACAAAACCACAUGUCCCAAUGCCAUUGACCCUGUCAACCUAUUUAUCUAACCACGAGCACCUUGUGUCCUCAUUCCCUGAACCCUCUGGAGCCUUACAUAAACCACAGAGCCUAUUAUUUAUAAUCUUCCCUCAAACCCUCACCCACUCGCCCAAUAACAAGUGCAUCUCCACCAACAGCCCAGUUUCCCAAUUGAGCGUCUCUGGUCCUUCCUUAUACAUCCUUUCAACUCUUCUUCACCAGCCUGCCCCCGAUACAGCUGCCGUUCAAUCUGACGCUACUGUAAUGAACAGAUGGUGUUUUUCCAUUGUUUUUUCAUUUUUUGGACCUGCCUAAAGCUUUUUCUCCAGCUAUGUCAGUCAGUCAUUUUGCUUUUUAGUUAAAUCAUUGUUUAAAGCUCAAUGCUGUUUUCACAGAUCAAGAUGUUACGCCAACAAAGGGCGAGCCCAAAUUGAAAGCUCUUGGAUAUUAAUCUCCAUACAAAGGCACUACAUAUUACCCUCAUUUUCUGUGACUUAGUUACCUUAUUCAUGUGUUGUAUUGUAUGUAUUCCG